rnacentral:rRNA from 1 species
GAUGAACGCUGGCGGCGUGCUUAACACAUGCAAGUCGAACGAUGAAGCCCAGCUUGCUGGGUGGAUUAGUGGCGAACGGGUGAGUAACACGUGAGUAACCUGCCCUUAACUCUGGGAUAAGCCUGGGAAACUGGGUCUAAUACCGGAUAGGAGCGUCCACCGCAUGGUGGGUGUUGGAAAGAUUUAUCGGUUUUGGAUGGACUCGCGGCCUAUCAGCUUGUUGGUGAGGUAAUGGCUCACCAAGGCGACGACGGGUAGCCGGCCUGAGAGGGUGACCGGCCACACUGUGACGCAGAGACGCCCCCCACUCCUCCGGGGGGGGGCAGUGUGGAAUAUUGCACACUGGGCGCGCGCCUGAUGCGGCGACGCCGCGUGUGGGGUGACGGCCUUCGGGUUGUAAACCUCUUUCAGUAGGGAAGAAGCGAAAGUGACGGUACCUGCAGAAGAAGCACCGGCUAACUACGUG